CUGUCACUGAUGGCAGGCUGCUCAGAGAGCUUCUGGCAUAAGGCAGCCCACCCCCACUCCUCCUCCCCGCGCUGCCAACACACAUUAUGAAAAUGAUCCAAUUAAAAAUGGACUUGACAGACACUUCAACGAGGAAACACUGAUGGCAAAUAAGCACAUGAGAGGGUUCUCAUUCUCAUUAAUCAUCAGGGAAAUGCAAAUUAAAACCGCAAUGAGCAGCCGCCCAGUUGGGGACAGACUGUCCCAACUCAGCCAACGCGAGGCCAUCGCCACCCUGGCCUCCCAGUUUCCUCCAAAGCAGCGCCGCCCAACUUCCUCCUUUUUCUCUCUUUUAUUCUCCAGACUCGCUUGUGAUUUUGUCACAACUUGCUUACCCUGAACUGCAAUUCUUCGCUACUCCUGAAUAAACCCAUUUUGCUGAUAAAAUGACUGGCUGUCUUCGUUUUAAGGUAGACACCUGCGUUUGUCCCUCUGAGAUCUGAGACCCAAGCAGGGACAGGGGCUGGACGGGGUGACCCCCAAGGCAUCUGGAAGACGCUGGAGCCCGUCCCGCAGCCCCUGCGGGAGCCCCUCGGCCCCAGGAGCAUGUCUGGCGAGGCCGACAGGCGACCCGCGGCGGGAGCGGGGGGCGGGGCGGGGCCGGGGGCG